rnacentral:rRNA from 1 species
CGGGGUGAGUAACGCGUGGAUAACCUGCCUCACACUGGGGGAUAACAGUUAGAAAUGACUGCUAAUACCGCAUAAGCGCACAGUACCGCAUGGUACAGUGUGAAAAACUCCGGUGGUGUGAGAUGGAUCCGCGUCUGAUUAGCCAGUUGGCGGGGUAACGGCCCACCAAAGCGACGAUCAGUAGCCGACCUGGGAGGGUGACCGGCCACAUUGGGACUGAGACACGGCCCAA